rnacentral:rRNA from 1 species
GCCGGCAGCUAGCUUAUGUAGUCACCCACUGAAGCUAAGCAGGGCUGAGCCUGGUUAGGACCUGGAUGGGAGACCACAUGGAAAAGCUAGGUUGCUGCCGGGU